CAUGCAAGUCGAACGCGAAAGCGGGGCAACCCGCAAGUAGAGUGGCGAACGGGUGAGUAAUACAUCGGAACGUACCCAGUAGCGGGGGAUAACCUCUCGAAAGAGAGGCUAAUACCGCAUACGACCUACGGGUGAAAGAGGGGGAUCGCAAGACCUCUCACUAUUGGAGCGGCCGAUGUCGGAUUAGCUAGUUGGUGGGGUAACGGCCCACCAAGGCUACGAUCCGUGGCUGGUCUGAGAGGACGACCAGCCACACUGGAACUGAGACACGGUCCAGACUCCUACGGGAGGCAGCAGUGGGGAAUUUUGGACAAUGGGCGAAAGCCUGAUCCAGCCAUGCCGCGUGAGUGAAGAAGGCCUUCGGGUUGUAAAGCUCUUUCGGCUGGGACGAAAAGGUCCGCGCUAACACCGCGGAUCCAUGACGGUACCAGCAGAAGAAGCACCGGCUAACUACGUGCCAGCAGCCGCGGUAAUACGUAGGGUGCAGGCGUUAAUCGGAAUUACUGGGCGUAAAGCGUGCGCAGGCGGUCUAUUAAGACAGGUGUGAAAUCCCCGGGCUUAACCUGGGAACUGCGCUUGUAACUGAUAGGCUUGAGUGUGGCAGAGGGGGGGUGGAAUUCCAGGUGUAGCAGUGAAAUGCGUAGAUAUCUGGAGGAACACCGAUGGCGAAAGCAGCCCCCUGGGCUAACACUGACGCUCA
rnacentral:rRNA from 1 species